rnacentral:rRNA from 1 species
GAUGAACGCUGGCGGCGUGCUUAACACAUGCAAGUCGAACGAUGAUGCCCAGCUUGCUGGGUGGAUUAGUGGCGAACGGGUGAGUAACACGUGAGUAACCUGCCCUUGACUCUGGGAUAAGCCUGGGAAACUGGGUCUAAUACCGGAUACGACCAUCUGGCGCAUGUCAUGGUGGUGGAAAGCUUUUGUGGUUUUGGAUGGACUCGCGGCCUAUCAGCUUGUUGGUGGGGUAAUGGCCUACCAAGGCGACGACGGGUAGCCGGCCUGAGAGGGUGACCGGCCACACUGGGACUGAGACACGGCCCAGACUCCUACGGGCGGCAGCAGUGGGGAAUAUUGCACAAUGGGCGCAAGCCUGAUGCAGCGACGCCGCGUGAGGGAUGACGGCCUUCGGGUUGUAAACCUCUUUCAGUAGGGAAGAAGCGAAAGUGACGGUACCUGCAGAAGAAGCGCCGGCUAACUACGUG